GGAACUGCAUUCGAAACUGGCAGGCUAGAGUCUUGUAGAGGGGGGUAGAAUUCCAGGUGUAGCGGUGAAAUGCGUAGAGAUCUGGAGGAAUACCGGUGGCGAAGGCGGCCCCCUGGACAAAGACUGACGCUCAGGUGCGAAAGCGUGGGGAGCAAACAGGAUUAGAUACCCUGGUAGUCCACGCCGUAAACGAUGUCGAUUUGGAGGUUGUGCCCUUGAGGCGUGGCUUCCGGAGCUAACGCGUUAAAUCGACCGCCUGGGGAGUACGGCCGCAAGGUUAAAACUCAAAUGAAUUGACGGGGGCCCGCACAAGCGGUGGAGCAUGUGGUUUAAUUCGAUGCAACGCGAAGAACCUUACCUGGUCUUGACAUCCACA
rnacentral:rRNA from 1 species